CCAGUCGGAGCCCAUAUAAGAGAGAGAGGGGUAGUCCUGAAAAUGGUCCCAGACGUAGUCCAUAUAAGAGAGAAAGGGAUAGUCCUGAAAUUGGCCGUCUCCCAAGCAGUAGUCCAUAUAAGAGAGAGGGCCAGUCCUGAAAAUGGUCGUGGCCCCAGCGGAAGUCCUUAUGAAAAGGGGAGGGCCAGUCUGGAAAAUGGUCGCGUUGCAAGCCCAAAUUCUCCGCCUGAAGCUAGGGACAGCCCCAACUAUGG
rnacentral:lncRNA from 1 species